GUCAGAACACUGACAGCGAAUUUAGUUGGUUGUCAUAGCAACAUACAAACCUUUUUUCAGUUGACUGGCUAAAUCGAACUUUGUUGCGAAAACUAAAACGGAUGAGUGGAACAUGUAUUUUGAUCUUUUCGACGGCAUUACUAUGGAUGAAUGGGAAAAAGAGAUGGCAAUAAUACCAAUGCAUGCAGAUUUGGAGGAUACUGCAUUGAAUGACCUAGACUAGAGAAAAGCCUCAACGGGGGAAAAACACAAUUUAAGAACACAAACUGGGCUGUGCGUUGCUUCGGGGGCUGGCUAGCAGAGAAGAACGUUGUUGACUUCAAAACUGUCACGAAGGAAAAGUUUUAACAUCCUUCUCCGACAGUUUUAUGGAAAUGUACGAAUUGGGAAGGGGGAGCAGUGUAGCCUAAGUAGCUACCUGGCACUCCGUAGUGGGCUCAACCGGUUUCUAAAUGACCCACCCAUCGGUCGCAACUGGUGUCUCGAAUCAUGUAUUUCAGGGCAACAUCAAACAGCUAAGAACGCAAGGAAAAUAUGUCACAAACAGCCACCCUCCAUUCACCGAUAAGGACAUGGCCCAGCUCCAAAACUCCCAGGCUCUGAAUCCCGGUACACCAUGCGGUCUGGUCCAGAAAGUGUGGUUCAACCUCCAGUUACAUCUGGGUCGAAUAGGAAAAGAGGGGAACAGACAACUAAACGGACUAAGAUACGCCACUCUCGCAUAUAACGAGGCCACAAAGAAUCAUCUGGGCCCAAGGGAGACACCGGUGCCAAUAUAUCCAACAAACACCGUUUUCUUCGGCAUUAUCACUUAAGUCAGCUGUGGUGGAUAAAGUGAAUGUAUGGUUUCAUUUAUUAAAAUCAGCUCAAAUGAA